ensembl:lncRNA
CGAACCGUCCCCCGGCGUUUGUUUUCGCACAUCAGACCUGACGUUGAUUGGACAGCCUGGCUGGGCUGAUGGUGCAGUUUCAGCAAAUCCAUGCGCGUAAUAGACGGCGAUUACCGGAGCGUCUCGGAGCUGAGGGGAUUAUAGAUGGCUAACGCUAACACAGUGACACACUGACGGACCUGUUGGCGUGGUUUUGCAUCAACUGAAAGAAUGCUAAGUGAGAAAUAAACCGAACAAAGUGGGAGCGGGAUUGGGAGAAGCCUGACCAAAAUAGAGGAACGGAAGAAGUAAAGAUUCAGCAGCGGUCCGUAAAUGUUCCUUCACGUCUGAAAGGCGAUCUGAAAUCCAGACAGAGUCUCAGCGUCGGAUUGAACCUUCCGGAAGCAGAAGUCCUCAAGUCUGAAGAAGCAGAGGGCUUAUAACUAAUGGGUUUGUAGUGCAUGUAGAAGUAAUUUCCUACAAAACAGAGAAGACUAAUACAGUAAUGGAGUACUGCCAUUCAUGUACUACAGUAAAGCCCAAUAGAGCUCUUAUAGAAGGCUUAUGGAAAUCUGAUGGAGGUCUUACAGAAGUCUUAUGGAAGUCUUAUGGAAGUCUUAUGGACUUAUGGAGGUCUUAUGUAAGGCUUAUGGAGGUCUUAUGGAAGUCUUAUGGAGGUCUUAUGGCAGUCUUAUGGCAGUCUUAUGGAAGGCAUAUGGAGGUCUUCUGGAGGUCUUAUGGCAGUCUUAUGGCAGUCUUAUGGAGGUCUUUUGGCAGUCUUAUGGAGUAAUGAGUCUGAAUUUAAGAUAUUUCAUUCACAAAUAUCUUGCAGAAUUUUGUGGACAUUUCCCAACAUUAAAUGUACCUAUAAAUGUAUGAAACCCGUCGCUGAUUAUUUUCCCGCUAUAUCAGCACGACACUGUCGUGUUUUAUUCCUUACUUGGAAUACCAAUGUCUUCCUGCCUAUUCAUAAACCUGAAGCACGUGGUGCUAUUUAUGAACUACGAUAACUAUUUUAAGAUUUCUAUUUCAUUGGACAAAUGAAAUGUUUACGCAGUCAGUUUUCUCGAGUCUGGGUUCGGUUCCUGUCAGAACACUCCCAAAAAUUCCGACUCGGGCUUCACUGCCUGAGGUCGAAACGUGAAGGUUUUCUUCCCCCCUCAAUCAGAAGGUGGGAAUUGCGAUUAUUCCCGUAUGACGUGAACGCAGCAUUAGCAUAACUGAAAGCUGUGUGGUCCCGUGAGAACGCGGUGUCGCUUGGGAUGAGACGCGGUUGAAAGGGGCCCUGCUUUUUUUGGUCCGGGGUUAUUAAGGGACUCUGGGAUAGUCGCUUCAAUGAUUCCCCCUGCAGGGAGACUGAAAAGAAUUGAACCAAGCCGUUCGAUCGUAG